ensembl:lncRNA novel transcript
AAUGAGAAAUAAGAAUUGGACAGAGGGGGAAGUUGAACGUCAGUGUGCAAUUCUAACAGGUCUUAGCCAGUCCUUCAAGAGCCCAGGAGCUAGAAUGGCUCUUCCAAGUUUUCCAGAAUUGAGACAAAAAGGCCAGGUCUUCGUACAUCUGCAUAGACCAGUUCUUUGAUGUGAGCUAACUCCAGUAAGAGGGUAUAACCUUGAGCAAAGCAGCUCCCUUUAUUCUAGAGCAAUCUCCAAAGUGGUACUCAGCCAUGAAAUGUCUACAGCCAAUACUUCUCGCAGGUGUGGAAAUGCACGCUUCAGACCUGAAGGGGCAACGCAGAAGGCAUACCACAGCAUCCACCACAUGCUUCCACAACAAUAAAAAAUAGUUUGGAUAUUACUUAGCUUAAUAGUUCGAAGAUGUGUCUGUAAAAGUCAGCAUAAUGUUCAGUGACCAGCAACUGCUGAGAUGGUAGCUGCUUCGUCAGGUACAUGAGUCCUCAGUUGACCCACAUGGAUAUAUUGUUGUUUCUGUUUCUACAGCAAAACCUAGCCUUCCCUGACAUCCAAAUCUCCAAAGGACAAGUUGUAUGUGAAAAUGGUGAGCAGUACAAUUUAACUAGAACAUGCUAGGCCAUGAGGAGCUAGAGGAGAUAAAAUCAGAAAGAGAACUGGAGGUCAGAUAAUACAAACCCUUGAAAUCCAGACUAGUCUAGAAGAUAUAUUGCAGGAGGAAGGUACUACAGAUGGAAAAAAACAAUUAGGUUGGUAAGCCCAAAGAAAUGUGUCAGGAAAGAAACAAAAAACAAAAAAAUUCUCAGUUAAUAUCAGAUAUUGAGGCAUGGAUGAUGUCUUCAUUUUGAGAUCCAAGCGACAGGGUUGAAAGUAGAUAAUGAGGUCAAAACAGAGAGGCCACUAGGCAGGAAAUGCCAUAACCAAUCAGGAAGCUGCUUAAAGCCCAUGGCUAGGAGGAAAGUUGUAUUAGUUUUCUCUUGCUGCUAUAUCAAAUUAUUACAAGCUUGGUGGCUUAAAACAACAUAAACAUUAUCUUACAGGGCUGUAAAUUAGCAGUCUGACAUGCAUCUCACUGGCUAAAAUGAAGGCAUCAACAAAGCUGUAUUUCUCAAGACUCUAGGGAGUAAUCCAUUUCCUUGCCUCUUCUAGUUUCUUAAGGCCACCUGCAUUACUUGGCUCAUGGAACCUUUUCUCCAUCUUUAAAGUCAGCAAGGCGGAAUCUCUCUGACCGUCUUCAUUUUUGACAACUUCUUUGACUACAGCUAAGAAUGGGGUGGAGUGGAAAUAUUUUGAAGGGAUAAUGGUGAUGAGAUUGUGUCCAUCUGGAGAAUCCCAGAUAAACUCCCACUUUAAGACUUAUAACUCAAUCUCAUCUGCAAAGGUAACAUAUGUAUCAAGGGAUCUAAGGGUUAGGAUGUGGCCACCCUUAGGAGGCCAUUAUUCUGCCUGCCAUCAUAGCCAAGCAUUAGGAAUGAGGAACACACUCAAAAUAUCAAGAAACAAAAGUAUGGUACUGGACAGGGGAAUGCUCAGUUCUAAUGUAUUCUGAACUACUGUGGGUCAGACCUGUGUACAAUGGCUCUUGUCUUAAGGCCCGUAAAGGGCAAGUUCAGUGGUCUAAAUGAGAAGUGAUUCACUGGCCUGAACUCUGCCAGUAAUGGGGAAUGGAAUAUUAUAGACAGCAGUGCCCAUGGUGCCCUGAGACUGACUAUUCCUUUGCCUCAAUAAGUGCAAGCUGAAUGAAUGAAUUGAUGAGUGAGAUGUCAAUCAAAUAAACAGGACUGAACAACAGUCUGGAUACAGAAGGCAGAAAAGGGGAAAGGAUUUUUAGAAACUUUAACAGUCAAUGAAGCAGCUAGGAGAGGUACAAGGCUAGAUACUAAAAAAAACAUGGAAGAGCGAAGGAUGGAAUUUCUUAACUGAGUUCUGAAAGUGGCACUUCUUUCAGAAUUUAAUUUAUUUUACAUAGAUGAAGGGAAUACACUGUCAAAUAGAUAUAAGCUAGAGAAAUGUAAAAUAAUUGUAUGAAUUAUACACUUAGAAAAGGAUCAUCGGCCAGAUGUUUUGCAGGAAACCAAAAACUAGACAUAGGGAAACUAGACAUAAAAAAGGAUUGAGGGAACUUUUAAUUAGGAGAGUAAGAUCAUUUUUAAAUGCAUUUUUAUCUGUGAAUAAAUCUGAAUGGAUAAGACCAUGUUUUAAUUAUGAAACAGGAGACUUGGGAUGGAGCAAGACAGUGGAAUAGAAGGCACUACAAAUUGCUCCCAUCCCCACCCAGGACACCAAUUUAACAACUAUCUACACC